rnacentral:rRNA from 1 species
GAUGAACGCUGGCGGCGUGCUUAACACAUGCAAGUCGAACGGAAAGGCCCUGCUUGCAGGGUACUCGAGUGGCGAACGGGUGAGUAACACGUGGGUGAUCUGCCCUGUACUUUGGGAUAAGCCUGGGAAACUGGGUCUAAUACCGAAUAUGACAAUUGUUUGGAUGCGAUUGUGGAAAGCUUUUGCGGUAUGGGAUGAGCUCGCGGCCUAUCAGCUUGUUGGUGGGGUAAUGGCCUACCAAGGCGUCGACGGGUAGCCGGCCUGAGAGGGUGUACGGCCACAUUGGGACUGAGAUACGGCCCAGACUCCUACGGGUGGCAGCAGUGGGGAAUAUUGCACAAUGGGCGCAAGCCUGAUGCAGCGACGCCGCGUGGGGGAUGACGGCCUUCGGGUUGUAAACUCCUUUCGCAACCGACGAAGCCUUUUGGUGACGGUAGGUUGAGAAGAAGCACCGGCUAACUACGUG